rnacentral:rRNA from 1 species
GGUGUUAGACCCGUUGGAGUACGCAAGGCUUUUAUUGGUGUUUCCUAUGAGUCGGAUUGUUUGAGAAUGCAGUCCAAAUUUGGUGGUAAACUCCAUCUAAGGCUAAAUACUUGUAUGAGUCCGAUAGCAAACAAGUACCGUGAGGGAAAGUUGAAAAGAACUUUGAAGAGAGAGUUAAAUAGUACGUGAAAUCGCUUAGAGGUAAACGAGUGGAGCCGAAAAGGUUGAGCGGGAUUCAGUUAUGUGUAUGAUGACGAUCGAUUCAGUGAAAACCACACCCGGCAUCAUUGGAUUGGUAGGUUUGUUGUACAUGUAAUGCACUUUCUGUUUGGCUGGACUGUGACCAAUAGUGCGGUUUUGCUGUCGUAAUGUUGAAGGUGACCAGUCACUUGUGAUUGGUUUUAUAGCUCAUUGCACGGUAAAAUUGUGUAUUGGUGAAAUGCAACUGGUCGUUAUGCAUUGGCAAUUCAUUAUGUAUGGGAGUUAGUGACAGACUAUAAUUAGACUGAUAUUGAUUUCUGUGCGUGAUGGUGUUGUUGGUGUGAUUGGUUUAAAGUCACAGUAAUAUGUAGGUUAUCUACUCGUCCCGUCUUGAAACACGGACCAAGGAGUUUUAUAUGAUCGCGAGUCAAAGGGCUGUACGAAACCCCACGGCGUAAUUAAUGUAAAGGUUUGCUUUAGUAAACUGUGAUGUGACCUGGUAGCUUUAUGCAACAUCAGUGCAACAUCGACCCGUCUGAAGAUGUUCGCAUCUGGGCGGAGUUUGAGCGAUCAUGUAGAGACCCGAAAGAUGGUGAACUAUGCUUGUGCAGGUUGAAGUCAGGGGAAACUCUGAUGGAGGACCGCCGCGGUUCUGACGUGCAAAUCGAUCGUCGGACAUGAGUAUAGGGGCGAAAGACUAAUCGAACCAUCUAGUAGCUGGUUCCCUCCGAAGUUUCCCUCAGGAUAGCUGGCGUUUGUUGUCGUAGUUUGACCUGGUAAAGCGAAUGAUUAGAAGUAUUGGGGGCGAAAUGCCUUCAACUUAUUCUCAAACUUUAAAUGGGUUCGAUGUGUGACUCGCUUCAUUGGAGUUGCACGUUGAAUACGAAUGCCUAGUGGGCCAUUUUUGGUAAGCAGAACUGGCGAUGUGGGAUGAACCAAACAUCUGGUUAAGGUGCCUAACAUCACGCUCAUGAGAACCCACAAAAGGUGUUGAUUGAUAAAGACAGCAGGACGGUGGACAUGGAAGUCGUCAUCCGCUAAGGAGUGUGUAACAACUCACCUGCCGAAUCAACCAGCCCUGAAA